GGAAGUAAAAGUCGUAACAAGGUUUCCGUAGGUGAACCUGCGGAAGGAUCAUUAUCGAACUCCCGAAGGGGACGCCAGUUGCUGCUGGGCUUUCUCGGAAGUCAACGUGCACGCGGCUCUCUCUUCUCGUUCAACCAUCCACCCCUAUCUGUGUACCUCACGUGGGCCAAGAUCUCUCGGCCCAUGCUCUCUCCCGCAAAUCCUCGAUUGCAUCAGUGAAUGGCAACCCGUUCGAGCCUGUCUCGACGUAGCAAACUUUGUACAACUUUCAACAACGGAUCUCUUGGCUCUCGCAUCGAUGAAGAACGCAGCGAAAUGCGAUAAGUAAUGUGAAUUGCAGAAUUCAGUGAAUCAUCGAAUCUUUGAACGCACCUUGCGCCCCUUGGUACUCCGAGGGGCAUGCCUGUUUGAGUGUCAUCAGACCAUCAACCCCGAAGGGCUUUCGAGCCUGCCGUCGGUGCUUGGACCUUGCGGCGUGCGGGGAAAGCUCUCGCGAGCUCCGCUCCUCGCRGAAUGCAUCAGCGGACGUCCACCAACAGUCCUGCCUUGGCGUGAUAGCUUUCUGCGUCCUGGCUUUUGGGGCUUGUAUCCUUCGACUCCGCUUCGAACGAGUUGCCUCCUAACGGCGACAGACCACUGACGAUUCGACCUCAAAUCAGGUAGGAAUACCCGCUGAACUUAAGCAUAUCAAUAAGCGGAGGAAAAGAAACUAACAAGGAUUCCCCUAGUAACUGCGAGUGAAGCGGGAAAAGCUCAAAUUUAGAAUCUGGCGGUCCCCCGCGGCCGUCCGAGUUGUAAUCU
rnacentral:rRNA from 1 species